CUCUUCAGAAAUACAGAGCUGUCAAUGUUGCAAUUUUGUUGUGAAAUUCAUAAUCCAUGUCCAAAAGUGCUUGUUUUACUAUACAGCAAAGAAGAAGAAAUUGUACUGGGCCGACACCUAUGGAAAAUAGUUAAUUUGGAAUUUUUCAGCAACCAAAGGGUUUGCAGCAAUGAAAUUUCACACACUAGUAGCUGAUAACAAUAAAAUCCAGUGGCUAAAAGGAUUUUAUCAAGGUGAUGAAUUCCAUGGGUUGGUAGAAACUUAGAAUGGUACCAUUAGUCACCAACACCCCCUAGACCAGAGCAAACUAUUGAGUCAUGUGGAAAGAAUCUGCAGUUUCCAGCGUAGCACUGUAUAGUAGCUGUUCUUAUUGCCAAUCCCGCUGUCGUGGUCGAAGCUCGGGUUUCUUUGGGCAGCCCCUAUCCACCUGGUCUUCAUUUACAGCUGAACUACAUCCAGGAUCGGUUGCAGCCUUAGAAGGAAGAAGCUGCUUAUAUAUAAUAUAUGAAAUGGUCAAGUCUACAAAUAAGGGGCUGCAUCAUCAGGACAGAUGGGUGUAAAUAUAAUUGUUAAUGUAUAGAUGUAAUGUUGGACAGUACAAGUGUACAGAAAGGUAUGGCAAAGAGAUUUUGAAAUUUCAGUUUGUUUACAUGGUGUAUGUGUAAACAAAAUUCUAUAAAUAAUAAUGUACUGAGAAAUCAGUUAAUCUCGACGGAGUGAAAUUUCAUGGUUUUGUCUAAAAUAGCUAUUUUAUGGAGAUAUAAAUUUGUGGAGAAGUUUUUAAGAUCAAAUGAAUAGAAAUGUUGUUGGUUUGUAUGAUGCUUAAACCACAAAAAUCCACUAAAAAUGAGCCCUUUAUGAAUACUAAUGGUGCCAUAGUAUCUGUUAACAGUUACCUCAGAAACGUAAAAAUGAAACUACUUCUGUAUGUAAUUCCAGAGUUACUGCUUGAUGUCCGUCGUGUGUCAACAAUUUGUAAAAAAAAUCUUCUUCAGGACCACUGGGCAGAUUUACACCAAACUUCACAGGAAUGAUCUUUGUGUGGCCCCAUUUCAAAAUUGCCUAAAGAAUUUGAUUCCAUGAAGAACACUGGUUGCCAUGGCAACCUAAAGGAAAGACCUUAAAAAUCUUCUUGUCAUAUAGUUAACAUAGACUUAUAUAGGAAAAACUUUGAAAAUCGUCUUGUCCAA
rnacentral:lncRNA from 1 species